UAGUCCACACGGUAAACGAUGAAUACUCGCUGUUGGCGAUAUACAGUCAGCGGCCAAGCGAAAGCAUUAAGUAUUCCACCUGGGGAGUACGCCGGCAACGGUGAAACUCAAAGGAAUUGACGGGGGCCCGCACAAGCGGAGGAACAUGUGGUUUAAUUCGAUGAUACGCGAGGAACCUUACCCGGGCUUAAAUUGCACUGGACAGUUCUGGAAACAGAACCUUCUUCGGACCAGUGUGA
rnacentral:rRNA from 1 species